rnacentral:rRNA from 1 species
GAUAUAAGUGAUGGUGAUUUUGAAGUAAUUUAAGGAAGGUUCGGUUGUUUGGAGUAAUCAGAGUGAAAAAAAAAGGAUUCUGAGCAGUUAUGGGUGUUAAUUUCGACCAUAUAGAGGAGGAGAAACGUUCCUUUGGUAUCAGGAUAGAGGGAGAGAAAGUGAUGAUUAGUUCACAGGUCCCGAAGUGGAGAGAGUUUAAGCUAGGAAGUAUCAUGUAGAAGUAUGAUGUGUGAGGAGUUUAAGAGGUGAAAAGUUAGUCGGUCUUCAGCAUAUCUGGUUCUGUUGGAGAGUAUCUGAGGUACUAGUCUAAGUGUUGGAAAGAUACAAAGGAUUAAACCUUCAGGGGACAAGCUCUGGAGGGAUAAGAAGGUUAAGCAAUGUGAGAAAUUUGGGUUUUUGUAUUAAUAAUGGAUUUAUAGAUCAACUUAUAGAUUAACAGAGUUAGCAAUAAUGUAGUACGUUAAUUUAUAAUCCGUCUAAUGAGUAGAGUUGGAAAAUAGGUUUAAGGAAUUAGGCAAAGGUGAUGUGCGCAUGUUUAGUAAAAACAUCUCCUCUCGGAAGAAUGGGAGGUAGGACCUGCUCAGUGCUUAAUAGUAAGUAAAUAGCCGCAGUAUCUUAACUGUGCAAAGGUAGCAUAAUAAUUAGCUCUUUAAUUGAGAGCUGGAAUGAAAGGUUUAACGACAUGUCAACUGUCUGCAGGCUUAGGGCUUGAAGUUCAGGAGUUUGUUAGAACUCAAACAAGCGUAGGAGGGACGAGAAGACCCUGUAGAUCUAUUUCCUAUCUAUGGUAAAGGAAGUUAUUUGGGAUAAAUCCAGAAUUAAAUAUCGGUUAAGUAAAGUCUGAUUGGACAAAAGAAUGAUCCGGGAGACCGAAAAGAAGAAAAAGUUACCUCAGGGAUAACAGAACAAUUCCACUCAGCUAGAUCAAAUGGUUGAUUGGGC